rnacentral:rRNA from 1 species
UAACGCGUGGGUAACCUGCCUCACACAGGGGGAUAGCAGUUGGAAACGGCUGAUAAUACCGCAUAAGCGCACAGUACCGCAUGGUACAGUGUGAAAAACUCCGGUGGUGUGAGAUGGACCCGCGUCUGAUUAGCUUGUUGGCAGGGUAACGGCCUACCAAGGCAACGAUCAGUAGCCGACCUGAGAGGGUGACCGGCCACAUUGGGACUGAGACACGGCCCAG